rnacentral:rRNA from 1 species
UAAGGAAUAUUGGACAAUGGCGGCAACGCUGAUCCAGCUAUCCCGCGUGCAGGAUGAAGGGGCUACGCCUUGUAAACUGCUUUGGACUGAGACGAAAAAAUGGGAUUCUUCCCAUAUUGACGGUAUCAGUAGAACAAGCACCGGCUAACUCCGUG